GAUGAACGCUAGCUACAGGCUUAACACAUGCAAGUCGAGGGACCCGCGCACGGGUGAGUAACACGUAUCCAACCUGCCCUUUACUCGGGGAUCGCCUUUCGCAAGAUAGAUUAAUACCCGAUAUAAAGGAUGGGGAUGCAUUACAUUAGGUUGUUGGUGAGGUAACAGCUCACCAAGCCUUCGAUGGCUAGGGGUUCUGAGAGGAAGGGCCCCCACAUUGGAAAUGAGACACGGUCCAAACUCGUACGGGAGGGAGCAGAUAGGAAUAUUAGUCAAUGGGCGCUAGCCUGAACCAGCCAAGUAGCGUGAAGGAUGAAGGCUUAUGGGUCGUAAACUUCUUUUAUAGAAGAAUAUGUAUUAUAUGAAUAAGGAUCGGCUAACUCCGUGCCAGCAGCCGCGGUAAUUC
rnacentral:rRNA from 1 species